AAAUACGGCUAAGGUAAUCUAUGCCUGGGAUAAGAAAAACUGACAAUCCUAGUCAAUUAAGAUUGGAGUCAAGUGCACCCGCGCAAGCUGGGUUCGAACUCACAACCUCAGUCUUGACUGACUAGUGAUAACAGUAGUAACUUCUUAUACCACUGGACCAACGAGCCCCAAAACAAAUAUUUCAUAAUCCUAUUCAUAUAAACAAUGUAUAAUCUUUUUUUAUGGCCAAUCUGUAGGCUUAAAACUAGCAAGGGAACAUGUCACCUAUACUUCUUAUAUUUAUGAAAAGUACGUCUUCAUUUUGCCAAAAUAUUGGAAAAGACUAUCUGAGUACAUAUAAAUAUUUAGUGAAUCUAAGGUAACAGUUAUUAUUAGUUUUUAUCCACUGAAAAAAAAAGUAUCGUAUUAACAUAAUGAGGAACUAGAGGUGUUAUUACACUAGCCGAACUAUUUUUUCCGCCUUUUACUUCCUACUUAGAUGAUUAUGUUAAUUAUAUCCGAUUGUCAUUAAAGUACCGGACAUGAGUAUUAAGGGCAUACGAUACAGUUUUUUUAUCCCG
rnacentral:lncRNA from 1 species